CCUACGGGAGGCAGCAGUGAGGAAUAUUGGUCAAUGGUCGGGAGACUGAACCAGCCAAGCAGCGUGAGGGAGGAAGGUCCAGCGUAUUGUAAACCUCUUUUGUAAGGGAACAAAGUCUGGCACGCGUCCCCUGUUGUGUGUACCUUAUGAAUAAGCAUCGGCUAACUCCGUGCCAGCAGCCGCGGUAAUACGGAGGAUCCGAGCGUUAUCCGGAUUUAUUGGGUUUAAAGGGUGCGCGGGCGGGCUGUUAAGUCGGUGGUAAAAGCUGGGGGCUCAACCUAGACCCGCCGUUGAUACUGGCAGUCUUGAGUGGGAGUGAGGUAGGCGGAAUUCGCGGUGUAGCGGUGAAAUGCUUAGAUAUCGCGCAGAACUCCGAUUGCGAAGGCAGCAUGCCGGAUCGACACUGACACUGAUGCACGAAAGCGUGGGUAUCGAACAGGAUUAGAUACCCUGGUAGUC
rnacentral:rRNA from 1 species